UUGUAGCCGAUGAAGCUGAUGGUGCUAUUUUCGCUGGGGGGGUCCUGCUGUGGCUGCAAACAGCAGCCUCUUGGGUGGUGUAUGAAGCCUGUUGGCUGCAUGGUUUGCCCUAAGGGACCUUGAAGUAAAAG
rnacentral:snoRNA from 1 species